rnacentral:misc_RNA from 1 species
UUAAGUUCAGCGGGUAGUCCUACCUGAUUUGAGGUCAAACGUUCAGAUGAGCUUGUCCCACCGGGGGACGGUUAGAAGCUGAACAGACAGAGAGCGUUCAUCGUCGUUGGCGCAGAUAAUUAUCACACCGGUGACGGAUCGCAAACGGUUCCGCUAAUGCAUUUCAGGGGAGCUGACCUUUGACAUGGCCAGCACGACCC